rnacentral:rRNA from 1 species
GCUUAACACAUGCAAGUCGAGCGGUAACAUGACUAGUAGCAAUACUAGUUGAUGACGAGCGGCGGACGGGUGAGUAACACGUAGGAACUUGCCCAGUAGUGGGGGACAACCAAGGGAAACUUUGGCUAAUACCGCAUAUUCUCGAGAGAGGAAAGCUGCCGCACGGCGGCGCUAUUGGAGAGGCCUGCGUCCGAUUAGCUAGUUGGUAGGGUAAAAGCCUACCAAGGCGAGGAUCGGUAACUGGUCUGAGAGGACGACCAGUCACACUGGGACUGAGACACGGCCCAGACUCCUACGGGAGGCAGCAGUGGGGAACCUUGGACAAUGGGGGCAACCCUGAUCCAGCGAUGCCGCGUGAGUGAAGAAGGCCUUCGGGUCGUAAAGCUCUUUAGGCUGGGAAGAAGGUUGGUAGUUUAAGAGAUAAUCAAUUUGACUGUACCAGCAGAAUAAGCACCGGCAAACUCUGUGCCAGCAGCCGCCGUAA